rnacentral:rRNA from 1 species
GACGAACGCUGGCGGCGUGCUUAACACAUGCAAGUCGAACGGAAAGGUCCUGCUUUUGUGCGGUGCUCUAGUGGCGAACGGGUGAGUAACACGUGAGUAACCUGCCCUUGACUUUGGGAUAACUUCAGGAAACUUGGUCUAAUACCGGAUAGGAGCUCCUGCUGCAUGGUGGGGGUUGGAUAGUUUCGGCGGUUGGGGAUGGACUCGCGGCCUAUCAGCUUGUUGGUUGGGUAGUGGCUUACCAAGGCUUUGCCGGGUAGCCGGGCUGAGAGGGUGACCGGCCAAAUUGGGACUGAGAUGCGGCACAGACUCCAACGGGACGCAGCGGUGGGGAAUAUUGCACAAUGGGCGGAAGCAUGAUGCAGCAACGCCGCGUGCGGGAUGAGGGCCUUCGGGUUGGAAACCACUUUCGCCUGUGACGAAGCGUGAGUGACGGUACUGGGUAAAGAAGCACCGGCUAACUACGUG